CCUACGGGAGGCAGCAGUGGGGAAUAUUGCACAAUGGGGGAAACCCUGAUGCAGCGACGCCGCGUGAGUGAAGAAGUAAUUCGUUAUGUAAAGCUCUAUCAGCCGGGAAGAAAAUGACGGUACCUGAGUAAGAAGCCCCGGCUAACUACGUGCCAGCAGCCGUGGGAAUACGUAGGGGGCAAGCGUUAUCCGGAUUUACUGGGUGUAAGGGGAGUGUAGACGGCAGUGCAAGUCUGGAGUGAAAGGUGGGGGCUCAACCCCCGGACUGCUGUGGAAACUGUACGGCUGGAGUGCAGGAGAGGUAAGUGGAAUGCGUAGUGUAGCGGUGAAAUGCGUAGAUAUUAGGAGGAACACCAGUGGCGAAGGCAGCUUACUGGACUGUAACUGACGUUGAGGCUCGAAAGCGUGGGGAGCAAACAGGAUUAGAUACCCUAGUAGUC
rnacentral:rRNA from 1 species